AUGAGCUUCAGAUCUAUUGAGCAAUUACUUAGAAGGAAUAGCAAGAUCAAAAUUUCUCAGAGUAUUGCCAAUGGUAUUCAUGACCAGAAGGAAGAGCAGUCUGUGCAAACCUUGAGGGAGUCACUUCUUGCGAGCAACCAGCUCCCAGAGAAGUUUGAUGACCAUCAUGUCUUACUACGCUUUCUGAGAAUGCGAGGAUUCAACAUAAUAAAGGCAAAAGAGAUGUUCUUGAACAUGCUGAAAUGGCGUGAGGAUUGUGCUGUUGAUACCAUUGCAAAGGAUUUUAAAUUUGAGGAAUUUGACGCAUUAAAACGUUGCUACCCUCAUGGAUUUCAUGGAGUUGACAGAUUUGGAAGGCCACUAUACAUUGAACGGAUUGGCUCAGUGGAUCUCAGUAAGCUCAUGCAAGUGACUAGUAUUGAUCGAUAUAUAAAAUAUCAUAUAUCAGAACAGGAGAAAACUUUAUCUUUGAGAUAUCCUGCAUGUUCUCUUGCCGCAAAGAAGCACAUAUCGUCUACAACAGCCAUAUUAGAUGUGAAAGGAUUGGGCAUGAACAAUUUUUCAAAAGCUGCACGAGAGAUGUUCAUUGAAAUUCAGAAGAUUGACAGCAAUUACUAUCCAGAGACAUUACAUCAACUUUACAUAAUCAACGCUGGUUCUGGAUUUAGAGCAUUGUGGAAAGUACUAAAAGCAUUUAUGGAGGCAAGAACUUUAAAAAAGAUUCAGGUUUUGGGGACCAAUUACCUUAGCACCGUACUAGAAGCUGUUGAACCAAGCAAUUUACCUGAAUUUUUGGGUGGAACAUGUACUUGUUCUGCAACUGGAGGGUGCUUGCUCCAAGAUAAAGGACCUUGGACUGAUGCUGGAAUUAUCCGUGCUUCUAAGGAGCCUUCAGCAAGACAUGUAGAUCCCACGUGUGGUAGGAAACGUACUCUUGGCAUGUUGUUGUUAGAGGAUAAUCAGGUUGCUAAUCAGAUGAGUGGAAAUACUCAUCAGAAACAAGCCAACGAACAGAUCUCAGGGAAGAUACAAGAACUUGAAGACUGUGCUGCUCAGACCAAGGAGACCCUAGAGACACUAAUAUGUAAGCAGAAAGAACUUGCAAUCCACAUUGAGCAGUUGAGGAAACUCGUACGGGAUGAUGUCCUGCCAGAGAAGAACACAAAUAUCCAAACCUUGAAGUGA
rnacentral:rRNA from 1 species